CAAGAUCAUGCAUGUACUACUUGGUCAGAAUUCUCCAUGUUUUCUAUCUCUCAUUCCCAUAUCAUAUUUCUUUUUGAGCAACACAAUGACACUUCGCGGAUCAGAUGCUGUCACCAAAAACAAAGAGAAAAUAUGGGGGAAAGAGGUCCAACCAAGGACAUUGAGAGUGUGAACAGAUAAUUUGGAUCAGGAAGAGGUAAUCCCCAAAUUGUUUGACUGUCCAAAAUCUCUUGGUGUUCUGAAGCAUUCAGAGUUGAUUCAUAAAGACAUGGAUGAGAGAGCUUGAUCACGCAGCAGCUACGCAUCUCAUGGAAUCAAACGGGCAGCACAUCAGUCCAAGUCUUCAUUGGCUUCCAGUCUGUUCAAUAACUUUUUUUCAGAUCUUACUCUAUUUACCUAUUUAUUCCUUUUCA